AUCAAAAUAAAGCUUGCAUCGGUCUGGUCAAGGUCAAAUUUGAUGAUUUGUGAUCGUUGAAGAAGUGAAAUGUGGUGGGAAACUAUACCAUCAGCUGUCAUAGUUUGGGCUGCUUUAUUUGCUCCUUGUGUGAUUGGAUAUGGUUCAAAUUACUUGAGAAAAAAUGGAAAAUGGGAGAACAGAAACUGGUUAACAAACAAACAUGACCAUGCAGCUUACCUAAGAGAUCGAUACAUCACAGGCAGUGAAUUUAUACCUAAAGGAUUAGAGGCCAUUCCAGAUGAAGAAAAAUGAACAGUGGAAAAUAGACUUAUAGAUUGAACUUGUGUACAUUUGUUCCUAUUUGUAUUUAAAAAAACAUUGGGCAGUAAAUAUGAUAACAUGAA